UGAACGCUAGCGGCAGGCUUAACACAUGCAAGUCGAACGGAGCUUAUGGAGAGCUUGCUCGAAGUAAGCUUAGUGGCGAACGGGUGAGUAACGCGUGAGCAACCUGUCUCAUACAGGGGGAUAACACUUGGAAACAGGUGCUAAUACCGCAUAAGACCACAGUGCCGCAUGACACAGGGGUCAAAGAAAUUCGGUAUGAGGUGGGCUCGCGUCUGAUUAGAUAGUUGGUGAGGUAACGGCUCACCAAGUCGACGAUCAGUAGCCGACCUGAGAGGGUGAUCGGCCACAUUGGAACUGAGAUACGGUCCAAACUCCUACGGGAGGCAGCAGUGAGGAAUAUUGGUCAAUGGACGCAAGUCUGAACCAGCCAUGCCGCGUGCAGGAUGACGGCUCUACGAGUUGUAAACUGCUUUUGUACGAGGGUAAACCUAGAUACGUGUAUCUAGCUGAAAGUACCGUACGAAUAAGGAUCGGCUAACUCCGUG
rnacentral:rRNA from 1 species